AUUGAACGCUGGCGGCAUGCCUUACACAUGCAGGUCGAACGGCAGCAUGAUCUAGCUUGCUAGAUUGAUGGCGAGUGGCGAACGGGUGAGUAAUACAUCGGAACGUGCCCUGUAGUGGGGGAUAACUAGUCGAAAGAUUAGCUAAUACCGCAUACGACCUGAGGGUGAAAGUGGGGGACCGCAAGGCCUCAUGCUAUAGGAGCGGCCGAUGUCUGAUUAGCUAGUUGGUGAGGUAAAGGCUCACCAAGGCGACGAACAGUAGCUGGUUUGAGAGGGCGAUCAGCGAGACUGGGACUGAGACACGGCCCCGAAUCAUACGAGAGGCAGCAGUGGGGAAUUUUGGACAAUGGGUGCAACCCUGAGCCAGCAAUGCCGCGUGUGUGAAGAAGGCCUUCGGGUUGUAAAGCACUUUUGUCCGGAAAGAAAUCGCACUUACUAAUAUUAGGUGUGGAUGACGGUACCGGAAGAAUAAGGACCGGCUAACUACGUGCCAGCCGCCGCCGUAACAC
rnacentral:rRNA from 1 species